GCCGCAGCUGUCAGGCUGGGCUGCUGGAAGCUGGAGUUACUCUGGCUUUUCAUGGAAUAGAAACACCCCUGCACCUCUACAGCUUAUCCAUCUACUCCAGCCAGCCCAGUGCUUUUCUGAGACUUCACUUUCUUUACAAAGCUGCCUAUGGACUUUCACAGGGGAAGGCACCAAGAAUCACGAGGGUCAACAACAAGGCAGCACAGCAAGAGUCCUUGUGUCUUAACACACCGCGUCCUGCUUCAGAGCCCAGUCAGAGCCAGCCAAGCUUUCUCCAAUAAGGGAAUAUCUCUCAGCUCAAUAUUUUAAUAAAUGCCUUUGAUGAUG